rfam:Helianthus annuus linkage group 9, whole genome shotgun sequence.
UUUUGGGCUUAGUUUGUUGUGGAGCACAUGAAAACUCCACAGUUAAGCGUUCUCAGGUGGGAGCAGUAUCAGGAUGGGUGACCUCUUGGAAAGUCUCCACCAGAGCAACCA